rnacentral:rRNA from 1 species
GAUGAACGCUAGCGGCAGGCUUAACACAUGCAAGUCGAGGGGUAUUGGUUUUCGGACCAAGAGACCGGCGCACGGGUGCGUAACGCGUAUGCAAUCUACCUUUUGCAGAGGGAUAGCCCCAGAGAAAUUUGGAUUAAUACCUCAUAGUAUAGUACUUUGGCAUCAAGGAACUAUUAAAGUCACAACGGCAAAAGAUGAGCAUGCGUCCCAUUAGCUAGUUGGUAAGGUAACGGCUUACCAAGGCUACGAUGGGUAGGGGUCCUGAGAGGGAGAUCCCCCACACUGGUACUGAGACACGGACCAGACUCCUACGGGAGGCAGCAGUGAGGAAUAUUGGACAAUGGGCGCAAGCCUGAUCCAGCCAUGCCGCGUGCAGGAUGACGGUCCUAUGGAUUCGUAAACUGCUUUUUGACAGAAGAACACUACUUCGUGAAGGUAGCUUGACGGUACUGUAAG